rnacentral:misc_RNA from 1 species
AGAAAAACAAUAUAUUUUCUAUUUAUUCUAUUGCAAUUUGCUGACUGAAGCAUCUUACUAAAUAUCGGAACAUGAGGAUGAAAGGGACAACUGAGAACAGUAGUCUUAUGAAAUUGAGGAAACUAAUCGUCGAACCAUGCGAAAUGACGUUUCCAUGCGGUAUUAUGUUUCUUCGCUUCCUUUACUACUUGACUGGACAAACUUUAUUUAGUCAGAAUUUAUCGUGAAAUGAAUAAAUUUUCCGGGAUUUUUUAGUUACGUUGGCAACCAUUAUGAUAUUCUUAAUCGAUAUUCGCGUUCCAGUCUCUGUGUGUUUCCAGGUCGCGGUUACGCGGUAAUACUUUACUUUCCUCGAUGUUGGUAGCAUCGCUUGUUUCGGAAGCAAGAUGUGCACUCGCUUCGUUCAAUAACACGCUGCUCGUUUCUAGGCUUCAUUAGUAGCUUGAAAUAGAUUCGUAUUGUUGAAUUUAACUUUCGAUCGAUUCCUUUGUACGAGACUAAAGUGUAUAAAGAUUACUCGUAUUUUUAUUAUUGUCUGUCAUUACUUUUAGAAUAAACACGUUAGAAUAGCCACAUAAUACAUGCAUUGAAAUACGUUAAAUGUGUUGCCACGUGAAGAAAAGUGAAAACAUUGUGAAUUAACUGUGUUAUAUUAUGACAAAAGGAUCGUAAAAAUAAUUAGAUGUAUAUCGAAUUUGUUGAAAAUACACAAAAUGAGAAUUGAAAUUUAAUUGCAAGCAGCGUAUCUAUCUACUUGUAUAACUAUAGAAAGAGAAGGAGGACGGACAUGGAAGGGGUUCGAACUUCCCGUCUAUUCUUCAGCAUGUUAGUUCUGCGGUUCACGAACGAGCACAUGUCGAUUGUUCGCAAGAGGAUCGCAAUAUUUCGCUCUUUCGCUUUCUUCUCGUACGAGAUAUAUUAUUGUUACGUUUUAGAAAGCAAAUUCACGAGCCUUGGUGAGGAUAAAUCCUUUUUUCGUUACAUACUUGGCGUAUUAUCCUCGCAAAUGAAUUAUUCCAUAGAUUGACAAAGAAUCGUUAAAAAAGUAUUUCUUGAAAGUUUGUCACGUGACCUUGAAUGACGUCACAGAGGCCAAUAGGAAACCUUCCAAACGGCGUUAUAACCCGAACUACCGGAGCAAGAGUUCGUGUGACGUCAUCUGCGCAGUAGAGCCAUGCGCAUCCGUCUGUGUCCAACGACGUGACCGAGGUAGAAUCAAUUGUAGAUUUGCAAUAAAAGUCUUUCUCCCUUCGAUCCUUCCAUCAUUAAGUUGAAGAUUCGGCACAUUAGGGAACAGGAAGGCUCGAAUAGUCAUGCCGUGCAACAGGGGGAAGUAUCUUCUUCGAAUCCUAACAUACUGUCCAACGAUCAAGUUGGUCCUAUUUUACUUGAGGUAUAAUUCAAUUUAAAUCGAAUUCCAUCAAUCUAUUUUAUCUUUGUUGUUUGCGUUCAUCGGUGUAUAUAAGACAUAAUCAGAAGGAACAUUUUUAUUCUGUUUAUUGACGAUUUAAGAGCAAAUAGGCAAAGUCCAUUGAACCUAAUUCGAUAAAUAUUUUAUCGGAAUUAAUUAUCCUUAAAUUUGAAUCGAUAUAAUUAAAUUUUAAAUUCUUUUUUUAAUAUCGAGAAAGAAAAAUAUAUAUAU